GCAGCUGCGGUCCAUGGUGGAAGACUCCGAGGAUGCCGCGCCGGGGCUGCAGCCCGUGUAGUCCAUGCCCUCGUCUGUCUCGGCAUCCAUUAGGCUCGGGGGACCCUGGAAGAAAGUAGAGGGGCCCUAAGCCUGUGGGUAUGAGCACAGCAGCCGUGAGCCUCGCUCCAUGUGCUGGGCGCACCGGUGGCCUGGUUCAUAGGUAGGUGGCAUUUGGGGGGAAUACCUGUAGCCAGGUAUUCAUUCCAGGAAGCCCGAGUCUGCCUGGCUGUCUAAUCCCUGGCUUCCCCUCUGGCUGGUACAGGGGCCUGGUUCUAUAUACUCUAUAUACUCUUCUCCGAGAAGCCACAUGUCCACAGCAAGGGGCCUUCAGGAAAGGACCUCUCUCUAGCUAGCCGCCUUGUUUAGAUUGCUGGUCAGCUGGCCUCCACCCCGCCUCCACCCCCCUGCUCCUGCUUUGCUGAGAACAAACAGAGCGGGCAGGACCCAAACAGCAGCAGCUAAGGGCAGGCAGCAGCUAAGGGCAGGCAGCAGCUAAGGGCAGGCGAGGGCCUGCCCGUUGCCAUGGCACUGGGCUGGCCAAGUGUCUUAUGUCACCUCCCAGCUUUGUUUGGCCCCAGCUACUACCAAAACCACCAAAAGUUGAGUAAACAAGCUCGACUCCAGAUUCCCCCGACAGCUGCGAGCCCAGCCUGGUACAGCAGAGGCCGCCAGGUGUGGACACCUGUUGCUGUGGUUACCGGCCCUCCUCGGCCCUGGAUCCUUUCUGAACCAAUACCCGAAGGGAAGGUUUGCUUUCUUUCUCUUCUGGCAGUUAACUUGGAGUGUCUCACCCUUCACCUACGGAGGGCUCAGAAUGCAGCCUCCAUGGACUCCCCAGGCUCCUGACACCAUGGCCACGGGACACGGGAGAGGCCUGGCCAGUAGACACCACAUCCACCGACCCACCAUUCCCUGUCUUCCAGCUUCCGGUCUAUUCCUAGGAGAGUCCUGCCCCACAUGUGCAGGUCUAUAGAAAGCUGCCCCAUCCCAAGGCUAAACGGUAGGCUCUGCCCUCUGCCUGUGGGCCUGAGGCCCUUCCCUACAGGCUUCCCCAGUGCCUUGGGCCAGUGCAGGAAGGUGUCAGAGAGGCAUCAGAAGGCUGGGAAGCACCCAAAGCCUGUGUCUCCUGUUCAUCGCGUACUUCAGCAUUGCCUACGAUGUCCCCAUAACAGGGUGCUGGCACUAAGUACCCCUGUAAGCAUACGCUAAAUGCUUUAAAAAGUAAAUAAACAACUGAAAGGAACAAA